rnacentral:lncRNA from 1 species
AAUACCCACCAUACCUCCUAAACUCCAUUGAUAGCCCCAAAGCCUUAUUGUCUUCUUUGCCACACCGUAAGAGAAAGUACCCAAAUCUAAAAAUUGGGUUUGAGUUAAUGUUUUAGAUCUGAAAAUUUCCCUCUUAUAAGAGAAAAACUUUAUGGAAGAAACAUUGGAUGGUUUUAUAGUGCUUGAAAUCCAGUUGCUGCUUUGAUUCCCAAAUCGCACCUCGACUUCUCGACUGCUUGAAGGGAAAGCUGAACCCAAAUCCACCUCGACUGCUUGAAGCCAAAAAUUGGGAAAAGAUGAAAGGCAAAGUUUGCAACUGGAAUAACAAUGCAAAUAGGUACUCCUUGAACAACCACUUUCGGGACUUUCAUGUGUUUCAUAUUUCUUGAGUUUUCUUUACAAAUUCUUGAUUUUACCUUCUAAUGGGGCUUAAUUUUCAUAGUGAUUAGUAGCUCUCAAUAGUUGAAGAUUUGGUUGUAUUUGGGGGUUCAAUAUUUGGGUAAAUAGGGUUGUAUACUGCUACUACCUCUCUCAUGGUUUUUUCCGAUUGUUUUUUCAAUUUCUCAACAGCAAAUUUGUCGAACUGUAGAAUUCUUCGUUUACUGGUAGUGUAGGAAGAAAUCACUAUUGGUAGCUGAGGAGAAAUUGUUGUUGGUUGCUAAGGAAAAAAUUAUUAUUGG